UCAGCUAAGUUACUUCCUCAUCUGAACCGUCCGUUGCAGCGAGGAGCCUUUCUUUCUCCGCUUUGAAAACCUUUCACAUGAUUAAUGUGUUUCAUACACACUUUAACCUCAGUUUCUUCCCUUACAAUUAUACUUUUAUAACUUUUUACUGUAUGGGACGGAACGUAUUUUCUCCAGUCUACUAUGGAUGAGGUGAGAGAGGAGGGGGGUCCUACCUCUAAGACCACUCUGUCUGGGGAACAUGGCCGUCGGAGCAAAGCUAAGAGCCCAGAGAAGCAGGAGAGAGCAGACUCCCCUGGACCCAGCUGUGCCUCCAUGAAGAGUGGCUGGUCUAUGGAUCAUCCUCGUGUGCUAUUUCAAGAUGGAAAUCAGUUUAUUGAGAAGAGGUGAAGAUUUAUCAGAGAUUAUUAAAAUACAGCAUCUAUCGAACGUCCAUAAAUCCUGGUUCUGGUUUUUCUAGAAGAGUCCAGAAGCAGAGAGCAGACUCCCCUGGACCCAGCUGUGUCUCCAUGAAGAGUGACCGCUCUAUGGAACAACCUGUUAACUUUAAAUAUGGAAAUCAGUCCAUUGAGAAAAGUUAAGCAUUGAUUAGAGAUGAUGAUUCGGGCUGUAGUCUUAAAUUCAACCAACUCUGACCAAUUGAUCGGUCGACGGUGAAAAGAUGAUUAUAAAACAUUGUGCACGUUAUCUCUGGAUCAACAUAAUCUACCACAGUGCGUUGUACUCUGCCUGCUAGCCUCAAUAUCACAUAAGGGCUGUUUGGAGAAGGGCACUGGGUUUCAGACCCCCUCUCGGUCCAAGUCGACUCGGUUAGAGCAGAGCUUCAAUAUGAAGCAGACAGCGGACGAGCCACGGAGCGUCGGGCAGCGUCGUUUAUAGACGACACCACCGAAGAAUUGAUUAUAUCUUUUAUCUGUGUGUAAUAUAACGGGGCCCACUGGAUGCUGCUGGGAUUCGUGCCAAGAAGCCAAUUCUGAUGUGUUCCCACCAGUGUUGUUUUCGUCAGGCAAGACGAAAACGAAAAUGACGUCGUCAGACCCCUUUUUUCCAUGACGAAAAUGAGACUAAGACGAACGUCACCAUUUCGUCAAAAAGACUAAGACUAAAACUAAAUCUAAAAUGCCUGCCAAAAACAACACUGGUUCCCACUCAAAGGGAGAUGAAGAAUAACAGACAUAUUAA